rnacentral:rRNA from 1 species
GAUGAACGCUAGCGGCAGGCUUAACACAUGCAAGUCGAGGGGUAACAGGGUAGCUUGCUAUUGCUGACGACCGGCGCACGGGUGCGUAACGCGUAUACAAUCUACCUUAUACUGGGGUAUAGCCUUUAGAAAUGAAGAUUAACCCCCCAUAGUCUCUUUUAGUGGCAUCACAAUUAGAGUAAAGGUUACGGUAUAAGAUGAGUAUGCGUUCUAUUAGUUUGUUGGUAAGGUAACGGCUUACCAAGACUACGAUAGAUAGGGGCCCUGAGAGGGGGAUCCCCCACACUGGUACUGAGACACGGACCAGACUCCUACGGGAGGCAGCAGUGAGGAAUAUUGGACAAUGGAGGCAACUCUGAUCCAGCCAUGCCGCGUGUAGGAUGACUGCCCUAUGGGUUGUAAACUACUUUUAUACAGGAAGAAACACCUCUACGUGUAGAGGCUUGACGGUACUGUAAGAAUAAGGAUCGGCUAACUCCGUGCCAGCAGCCGCGGUAAUACGGAGGAUCCAAGCGUUAUCCGGAAUCAUUGGGUUUAAAGGGUCCGUAGGUGGAUAAUUAAGUCAGAGGUGAAAUCUUGCAGCUCAACUGUAAAAUUGCCUUUGAUACUGGUUAUCUUGAGUUAUUAUGAAGUAGUUAGAAUAUGUAGUGUAGCGGUGAAAUGCAUAGAUAUUACAUAGAAUACCAAUUGCGAAGGCAGAUUACUAAUAAUCAACUGACACUGAUGA